AACCAGCAGCUCCCUUGGUAGGGGCAUGCAGAAGACCUGAUGACACAAACCCUCCAAAGAGUUUCACCCUCACCACAACAGGUGGCUUCCUGCUCGGCAGCCCAUCCUGCAUCACUUCAGUGGACUUCUCUGACAUCUACUAGACCACAUUAAAUGAAUCACAGCCUUGAAACUGAACUGGAAGGACUUCCUUCAAGAUUUUUAUCUAAUUCCUGUUGGACAGUGUAAAAUGCCACUUCUUCCAGGGUUGCCUGCAUAUCAUCAAAAGGGAAAUAGUACUCAUCGAAGAUGUGCCUUUGCUAGGAACUAGGACAAGGGUGGCCUUUAUAAAUUCAUGAAGAGAAGGAGCCAGCAUAUGAACUUGCUGCCUAUCUUUAGCAAGGAGAUGCAAAUGACAUCCACAAACCUCUUCUGCUGUAUACCUGGAUGAAAGCAAGGCUAGCUGUGUGUCCUAUGGCACCAAGGACUGAAAGAUUGUAAGAAGUAAGAGUCCAUCAUAGAGGCCAAGCCAAAUACAACUAUGUUUUCAAGCAUAAGAUGGAUAGAUGUGGUAAACCACAAGAAG
rnacentral:lncRNA from 10 species